AUUGAACGCUGGCGGCAGGCCUAACACAUGCAAGUCGAACGAGUGGCGGACGGGUGAGUAAUGUCUGGGAAUCUGCCCGAUGGAGGGGGGUAACUACUGGAAACGGUAGCUAAUACCGCAUACCAUCGGAUGUGCCCAGAUGGGAUUGGCUAGUAGGUGGGGUAACGUCUCACCUAGGCGACGAUCUCUAUCUGGUCUGAGAGGAUGACCAGCCACACUGGGACUGGGACACGGUCCAGACUCCUACGGGAGGCAGCAGUGGGGAAUAGUGCACAAUUGGCGCAAGACUGAUGCAGCCAUGGCGCGUGUAUGAAGAAGGCCUUCGGGUUGUAAAGUACUUUCAGCGAGGAGGCGUUACUCGCAGAAGAAGCACCGGCUAACUCCGUGCCAGCAGCCGCGGUAAUUC
rnacentral:rRNA from 1 species